GAGAGCCGUAUGACGGGAGACUGUCACGUACGGUUCGGUGGCAGGCGGGAACCGGAAGGGACCUAGGCCUAGCCAAC
rnacentral:ncRNA from 1 species